rnacentral:rRNA from 2 species
AUGAGGAAAAGAAACCAACAGCGAUAGCCUCAGUAACGGCGAGUGCAGCGGCAAAAGCUCAAAUUUGAAAUCCCCCGGGAAUUGUAAUUCUGAAGAGAUUUGGGUCCGGCCGGCAGGGGUUAAGUCCACUGGAAAGUGGCGCCACAGAGGGUGACAGCCCCGUGAACCCCUUCAACGCCCUCAUCCCAGAUCUCCAAGAGUCGAGUUGUUUGGGAAUGCAGCUCUAAGUGGGUGGUAAAUUCCAUCUAAAGCUAUAUACCGGCGAGAGACCGAUAGCGAACUAGUACAGUGAUGGAAAGAUCAUUAGCACUUUGAAAAGAGAGUGAAAAAGUACGUGAAAUUGUUGAAAGGGAAGGGCUUGCAAGCAGACACUUAACUGGGCCAGCAUCGGGGCGGCGGGAAACAAAACCACCGGGGAAUGUACCUUUCGAGGAUUAUAACCCCGGUCUCUAUUUCCUUGCUGCCCCGAGGCCUGCAAUCUAAGGAUGCUGGCGUAAUGGUUGCAAGUCGCCCGUCUA